rnacentral:tRNA from 1 species
UUGUUUUUAGUUUAAUAAAAAUAUUAGGGUUUCGUCCUAUAGAUAUGAGCAGGUGUCAUUAAACAUA